UUCAGUCUGUGUAGUAAACUGCACACACACACACACACGAGGGAAGUUUGUGCAGGCUGGCCACUGGCUAGGUGAAAUGAAAGCAGCAAACACUUUGGAUAUACCAACAGGAAAAUAAAGUGAAAAACAAUGGAAGAAGCCAGAUAGUUCUUUAAAACACAUGAGUGUUCAAGUCAAAUGUAGAGUCACCUACCCAUGCAGCUGGAAACUGCAUUGUGAAGCAGUGUGUGUGUGUGUGCAUUGACACUGUGUACAAAUACACUGCGUUUCCACUGCAUCCACAUCUGUUUUGCCUGAGUAAUAAACACCUCUCUCUGAACGAUGUGGCUGACUGUAAAUAUUUAUGAGUCAUGCUCUCCUUUUGAACACAAUUUGUAUCACAUGGAACCGCUGCUGUAGGUGGAAUGUGUUUAACCUUGCCAUCAGUAAUUACUAAAUUUGCUCUAUCCUGCGCUUCUAAAAUAAAGAGUAGGACUAGAAUACAAUAAAACCCAAACCCCAACAACCAAACAAAAACCAACCCAAUGUGUAAGCAUUAAUUUUUCAUGGCAGGGAAACAGAAUGCAGAGAUUUCAGAGGUAAGGAAGAAGUCUAAAAGAACAAAUUGAAUCUGGAAGUUCCAAUAGUGCUGUUCCCCUGGUUUUCUUGACCCUCUUCUGGUAAAGAAAUGAGUUAAGGAGAAGAAGAAUGAAUGACUGACUUUGCUGUGUCUUACUUACAGAAUCACACUUUCAGAACUCAGACCCAAGAAGGAGUUUCUUUUAAUGGCAUCACGAAGCUCUGUGCUGUGGUUCCUGUUCAUGAAACAUCAUCCCAGAAAUGCUGACUGUAGAGGACAAUCCUGUACUCACAGCAAGGAACCACGAUGACAGUAGGCAAAAGAAAAGGCAAAGUGCUGCUGAGCAGUGUGUGGCUGUUGCAGGACAGAGGAGAAGACAUCAAAAUCUUGCCUUUCUGCAGUACAUUCCCUACAAAACCUCAGUCUCCACAGUGAAGGACUGACAGGUGAUGGUACUACAACGUCUACUGUUCAAACACUGGGGACAACGAAUGAAAAUUGCCACUAAAUAGAUAUAUUUUUUUCCUACCCUCAAGAGAUGUUCUGAACUGUGUUUUAACACUGUUGUGAGGAAUCAGACCACGUAUCUCAUAUCCUGCCAGACUGCCACCACGACUGGAAGCUUCAGAAGAGCCACAAACAAGUCAGAUAAGGGUUCCAUGAUUCUGUGAAGAUGAGUGGAGAGAAGAGAAGGAAAACUUGCUAAUGGCAGAAGGCAGUAACACUUCUGGUGCUGGGCUUCACCCUUUGUGUUUCAGGGGAAUGCAGGGGCUGGGAGGAAAGGGCAAGACCUUCUGUCUCCUGCAAGAACGUGUGUUCACAGAAGAAUCCCAGCUGACAGCACUCAAGUGCUGUUUGCUGACAGCAGGCUAUUGCUUUCCUCCUCCUUUGUGGUGUCCCUACACCUGCUAGAGGCUGUCAUUCAGGUGAAAAAGGUGAAUUAAAGAGUGCAUUCAGGUUA